rnacentral:rRNA from 1 species
GUUGAACGCUGGCGGCAUGCCUUACACAUGCAAGUCGAACGGUGACGCGGGGCAACCUGGCGACGAGUGGCGAACGGGUGAGUAAUAUAUCGGAACGUGCCCAGUAGUGGGGGAUAGCCCGGCGAAAGCCGGAUUAAUAACCGCAUGAGACCUGAGGGUGAAAGCGGGGGAGUCGCAAGACCUCGCGCUAUUGGAGCGGCCGAUAUCAGAUUAGGUAGUUGGUGGGGUAAAGGCCUACCAAGCCGACGAUCUGUAGCUGGUCUGAGAGGACGACCAGCCACACUGGGACUGAGACACGGCCCAGACCUCCUACCGGGAGGCAGCAGUGGGGAAUUUUGGACAAUGGGCGCAAGCCUGAUCCAGCCAUGCCGCGUGC